AGUGAACGCUGGCGGUAGGCCUAACACAUGCAAGUCGAACGGCAGCACAGUAAGAGCUUGCUCUUACGGGUGGCGAGUGGCGGACGGGUGAGGAAUACAUCGGAAUCUACUUUUUCGUGGGGGAUAACGUAGGGAAACUUACGCUAAUACCGCGUACGACCUACGGGUGAAAGCAGGGGAUCUUCGGACCUUGCGCGAUUGAAUGAGCCGAUGUCGGAUUAGCUAGUUGGCGGGGUAAAGGCCCACCAAGGCGACGAUCCGUAGCUGGUCUGAGAGGAUGAUCAGCCACACUGGAACUGAGACACGGUCCAGACUCCUACGGGAGGCAGCAGUGGGGAAUAUUGGACAAUGGGCGCAAGCCUGAUCCAGCCAUACCGCGUGGGUGAAGAAGGCCUUCGGGUUGUAAAGCCCUUUGUUGGGAAAGAAAAGCAGCAGGUUAAUACCCCGCUGUUCUGACGGUACCCAAAGAAUAAGCACCGGCUAACUUCGUG
rnacentral:rRNA from 1 species